CCCUGUAGAUGAUCUCUGCAUAGCCUGAGGUUCUGAUGAAGCCACGCAAGUGCUUGGCCUCUACAGGUAUCCACUCAGCUAGAAUCUGGAACAUCUUCUCCUUGUAAUUCUAUGCUCCAAAACUUAGAUCUUUAUCUGAUUUGAAAGUACUUCAGAACUCCUUCUGAAGUUGGAGCAGCAGCCUGUCGAAGAUGUCCUGCAGCCUUCCGUUCCAGGCAUCACCACGCC
rnacentral:lncRNA from 1 species